AUUGAACGCUGGCGGCAUGCUUUACACAUGCAAGUCGAACGGUAACAGGUUAAGCUGACGAGUGGCGAACGGGUGAGUAACGCAUCGGAACGUGCCCGGUCGUGGGGGAUAACGCAGCGAAAGCUGCGCUAAUACCGCAUACGUACUGAGGUAGAAAGUGGGGGACCUUCGGGCCUCACGCUAUUCGAGCGGCCGACGUCUGAUUAGCUAGUAGGUGAGGUAAAGGCUCACCUAGGCGACGAUCAGUAGCGGGUCUGAGAGGAUGAUCCGCCACACUGGGACUGAGGCACGGCCCAGACUCCUACGGGAGGCAGCAGUGGGGAAUUUUGGACAAUGGGCGAAAGCCUGAUCCAGCCAUGCCGCGUGUCUGAAGAAGGCCUUCGGGUUGUAAAGGACUUUUGUCGGGGAGGAAAUCCCCAGCGUUAAUACCGCUGGGGGAUGACAGUACCUGAAGAAUAAGCACCGGCUAACUACGUGCCAGCCGCCGCCGUAA
rnacentral:rRNA from 1 species